UCAUUAGGGGGCCUGNGAGGGUGAACCCCCACACUGGUACUGAGACACGGACCAGACUCCUACGGGAGGCAGNAGUGAGGAAUAUUGGGCAAUGGAGGCAACUCUGACCCUGCCAUGCCGNGUGCAGGAAGAAGGNGUUCUGCGUCGUAAACUGCUUUUAUAUAGGAAUAACUCCCCCUACGUGUAGGGGGGUGAACGUACUAUACUUUUACAGC
rnacentral:rRNA from 1 species